rnacentral:rRNA from 1 species
UACGAGGGGGGCGAGCGUUGUUCGGAAUUAUUGGGCGUAAAGGGUGCGUAGGCGGUUUGGUAAGUCUUAUGUGAAAUCUAUGGGCUCAACUCAUAGUCUGCAUGAGAAACUGCCGGGCUUGAGUAUGGGAGAGGUGAGUGGAAUUUCCGGUGUAGCGGUGAAAUGCGUAGAUAUCGGAAGGAACACCUGUGGCGAAAGCGGCUCACUGGACCAUUACUGACACUGAGGCACGAAAGCUAGGGGAGCAAACAGG